UGGGAGACCAGUCUCGAGGGCGUCCUA
rnacentral:piRNA from 1 species